rnacentral:lncRNA from 1 species
AAAUAUGGGGCAUCCCCCACUGGAGUUCAGCGACUGCUACCUGGACAGCCCCGAUUUCCGCGAGAGGCUCAAGUGUUACGAGCAGGAGCUUGAGAGGACCAAUAAAUUCAUCAAAGACGUCAUCAAAGACGGCAACGCGCUUAUCAGUGCUAUGAGAAUGAUUAUUGCAGAUGCAGCCAUGGGACUGUCCUUUCCUCUCUCUCUGUAUGUGGAAGUUUUUAUUUCUGCUGGUUGGCAGGAGGCUUGGAGUAAAAAGAGGAAUAAUAAAUAUCCUGUUGAGAGUUCAGGCAAGCCAAACCUUUGUGCCCUGGAGAAUGGAAGGUAAUGAUUGAAUGGGGUGAUAAUUAAUUUUGUCUUUUUGGCUGAAAAAUGAUUGUGAAAAAUAAAGUCACUGGUGAAUAUAUCCUUUUAUGCUUAUAACUUUGUUUUGAGUGGAUUCAUGCCCAAAAUAUUGUCUAGAUUCAGUGUGGGGACUUGCUUAAGACAGAUGCAGUCCAGUCAGAGCAGGGAGGAAGCCUUAGGAGCUGCAGUUCAAUGGUAACUGCUGCCAGAUUGUAUUUGUUGUGCAGCUCUUCCAUUUGCCCCCUGGAAUUUGUGCUUCUCUUUUAUACAUUGUCUGUGCACUUUUGUUCAGAAUCUGUAAACUGUUCAAGUUCCUGCAGGUCAUUUGACUGAGUUGGAUCUUUUAAUAGUUCCUCCUGUUGUGGCCUGAUUAAGAGUGAACUCCUGAUAGCACCUUGAAGAUAUGAGGUAUUUGAAAUGCUGAUCCUUAGCUUCAUAAAAAGGCCUGGCUUUGGGGUGUGUCUCCAUUUAAAAGAGUUCCUUGAGACAUUAAAGAUAUGUAGAUUGUGUCACAGAAAUAGAAAAGGCUUCACUGAAAGGAGAAGGGGGAAAUGUUUGGGCUCUGUUGUUUUCUAUAGCAAACUGCUUGGUACCAUAUCCUCUGUUGAAUGAAGCUCAUUAUAUGCUCUAGGAAGAAGGUGGCUUGGUGAAGACGGUAAACUGCAAGUGUUUGUGCUUAAAAACAGGACCAGCUAACAGAGAAAUUAAAUUUGUAAGAAAAAAAUGCAGUUCAAUAAAACAUUUGGGGGAAGGGCAAAAGUUUUGUAGGCUACGGGCAAGUACUGUAGUAGUUUUUAUUCUUUCUUUCCUAAGACUAAAAGAGGCAAGGAGUCAGCAAUCAUGUAGGGCCAAACCUUUGCCUAUGGGCAAAAGAUCCAAAGAUAUUCUAGGCCAGAAGGCUUUUUGAUACUUGUGGUGUUUUUCUGUUUUGGAGUAUACAUAGAAAGCUGAAAAUAGAAUGGAUAGGAAUUAAAAUCCAGCAGCAACCCAUCUCCAUUUCUUUUGUUUAAGUUGUAUAGAUAAAUACUUGAGUAGUUGAAAGCAAAGGCAGGGGAUGUUUCCCACUGUCUCAACCACAGUAAUGUUUAUACAGUACUCCCACUCUGUUUCCUUGCCCCUUGCCAGCUGGGCCACUUUCUGAGAAGAGGUAGGGUGGAUGUAAAACAAAGGUGUGCUCUUUUUCUGUGUGGAGGAGAAAGUAAAAAAGAACAAUGGAAUUGGAGUUAGAAGAUUUGUAUGGUAGUCUUAGCUUCCCCAUCUUGGCAUCUGACCUAAACCACUUAUUUCAUCUGUAAAAUGGGAGUAAUUAAAAUAUUAAAAUUUUAAGGAGAAGGAAAUGUUAACUAUUCCAAAGUGAUUAUUAUGCAGUGUAUGCAUUUGUCAAAUUAGGACACUGUACCUCAUAAAAUUUGUAUAAAUAAAAAUGGUGGUAAUUAUACCUACCCCAUAGUUAUUGUAAGGCUCAAAGAAAUCAAUUGAUUCUGAAAGUUCUUUGUGUGUGGAAAUGGCUAAGAAAUGUACAUUGCUGAUAAUACAUCUUUGGGCCAUUAAUGUAUCUGUUGGUGAAUAUAUAAUAUUCAGAAGAUUUCUGAAAGGAUGUGCAUAAGCAAGUAGUUGGAAGCAGAGCCUCUUUUUGGGGGCGGAGGGGGGCUGUUAUCUUGUUGGGAAAUGUCACUCCCUACAUUGCUGUAUCCCAGUAAUGAGUUUUGUAGUCACAUGUGUGGAUCCAUCUUGGCAUCUGGAGUCUGGCAUUAAAAGGCAGGAGAUUGGUUGAAACCUUUUUAGUUAACAAAUUAAUUUGACCAACAAAUAGCUGUUGUUUCUCGGAACCAAUGAGAUGUGGCACACCAUGCUGCAGAAAUCAGCUGCAGUUUUUCUUAAAGUUAAUGCAGGUAGAACUUGCAUUACAUUUUAUCCUGCUUGUGUGGUUUUGUACAGAACUCGGUAAGGCUUGAGUCACAACUGUGUGUGAAGAUCAAUUCAUUAAAUGUAGAUCCUGUUUGGGCAUUUAGAUUUACUCAGCACUGUGCAGAAGUAAUUGGUAUUGUGAAUGAUAUUCAACCUGUCUCCCUUGGGGAAGUGGUUGAUUUCCUCAUCCCUCAUUACAUAUGAUCUAUUUGUAAUUUUUGGAGCAUGUGAUGAUUGUAAUUUAAAGUAAUGGAGCCAGGUUUGCUGUUGGAUGCCUGUAAUACCAGCACUCCGGGAGACCGAGACAGGAGAAUCACAAUUUUGAGCCCAACUUGGACAAUUUAAUGACUUAUUGAGAUCCUGUCUCAAAAAAUUAAAGGGCUGAAGAAGUAGCUCAGUGCAAGGCCCUGGGUUCAAAGCCCAGUACUGAAAAAAAGCUCCAAAACUAAUGGAAAAUAAAAACAUCACUCUGAAAGGUGACUAUAUUGUCCACUUUUCUC